AGCUGUUUCUCAGGUGAUGCACCUCAGAAUCGGGCUCCCUUCUCCCUGGUUCCAGGUGCAUCACCCAAGAACCGCA
rfam:Myotis brandtii contig182169, whole genome shotgun sequence.